GUUCCGGAACUCGCUGUGAUCUUAAGGGGGCUGUUAUGGUGGGCGGGCAGAGGAGGAUUCUGGGAUUGCUCUACGUGAUGUCACAAGGCGCAGCCUUCUGCACAUGCAUGAUUUGGGGUGGUGAGCAGGGAGUGGGAAAUGAACUCCUCUAAAUAAAAUACAAAGAUGGGCAAUCUGUGGCCCUCCAGUUUUGCCAAACCCCCACCAGUACCAGAAUGUCUGGCCAGUAGUCAGGGAUGGUGGGAUCUGUGGUCCAACUGUAUCUCUGUAUCUCCGAUAUAAAGUCUUGUCCAGCCACUAGAUACACACACACACACACACACACACACACACACACACACACACACAGACAGACAUCUUUUGUGUGGAACAAAAGCAGGAGAGCCAGAAAGCAUUCAUUCAUUCAUUCCAGUUCCUAUCCUGCCCUCCUUCCCAAAGGAGCCCAGCGCAGCAAAUAUCAAAAUGUUAAAACUGAAAAUGAAAUCACUUAAAGGCCGUUAAAAAACAACAACAGCCAACAAAAAAAAACAUUCAGAACUCAAAGCACAUGUGUGUGUGUGAGAGAGAUCCUUUAGGAUAAUGGGGGUCAUUUGUGUGGGUUUGGCAUUGUGCCUUGUACAAAUCUCCGUAGAAAUACAAUAAUCAUGGAAGCGAUGUGGAAAAAGCUGGGCGGGGAGGUUGUUUGUCUGCCAGGGGCCCAGUAACUAACUGGCAGGGCCAGGGACUCCAUUGGUUCCCCCCUGGGAUCUUCCCAUCAUGCCGUCCCCUCCACUUCCCUGAACGAAAGGUACUUGUUGCCAUGACAAUGGAGGGAGCAUCCAUGCUGCGCUCCAUCCUGCCACAGCAUCGGUAGGCCCACAAGCAGCCAUCUUCACUGGCUCUGCGGCUGGGUGGUUUCCAUGGAUACCUUGCAAGUCCUGCUCUCACCUGAAGGAAAACCCCUGCCACCCCACCCCGGCCGAAAAGCAUGUGAAUUAAUAUUAUUAUUUAUUACAUUUCUAGGCUGUCCUUCCUCCCAAUGGAGCCAACUCAAAGUAGAGAAACAGUGCCAUUAAAAUAAAAUAAAAAACCUAUUGAAAAGCAUUCCAAACAUCUGUUUUUUAAAAAACAGAAGAAAGAAAAACAAUGGUCAUGUUUUAGCAUAUAGGGUGGCAAUGACCAGGGCCAGAAUAAUCCUGGUCAGGCCACACAGGCCCUAAAGUAGCCAGAGGAACUCCAUUUUCAAAAUCUCUCUGUCUCUGAUAAGUAAACCAGACAGCACUUUGCACACAGGCACAGCAUGUUUGCACAUCUAAUGCAAAGAUCUAACCACACACAGCACUUCUGAGAAAUUCUAGCAAACUAGACAGGGCCUGUUUCAACCCACUGUCAGAGGAUGUAGCCCUGCCACAAAACCGCAGUUACACGUGUAUGAAAGUACCAGGUACAUAACGCCACUUAGUGGAGUUAGGUAAAUGACUUUGCAUCUUGGGGUGCUCUCUCUUGAUUGGUUGAUGAAGUACUGCAGAAAGGCUGGCCUUCACUCUGUCAAAAAGGUAUAAAAGCACUCUGUGUAUGCCCAUGGGUCGGGCAGAAUGAGAAACUCAUUCUCACUGCCACCAUUUAUUGCAAUAAAUGUUUUAAUAAAUCUGUUUUAUAAUAUGUACAACUGCCUGAGAUUUCGUCUGGUCAAUUUGGGAAGCCAAUCAUCCAUAUUACAUUUCUGGUGUCCUUACAUUUCUGGUGCCGUGACUCGGAUGAGGGCAUUUCCCUGAACCAGAGGCAGUCCCCUUUUGCCCCACUGGACAGGGCGCAGAUUCCUAACGGCGCCUCUGGUCUGGUGCACACCGGCAGACUUUUUCCGGAGGAUCAGAGGUGGCCCUUGAGUUUCCGUGCCCUGGACGAAGAGGCAAAAGGACCGAGGUUGGAAGGGAAGAACAGGAAAAGCCGGCUGGGGUAAGUAGAAAGGGAAAAGGUACCUUGAAGGGAAUUGGCCCCCUUUAAUGAGGGGAAGGGAGAUCCUGAUCACAUCUCCAGCGUGUUGGUAGUACUCAGUUAAUCAGAGGUCAACUGGGAAAACCAGGCGCUUUGGGUAAGAGGCAAAGGGAGGAGGAAAAUGUGUAUGUUAGUAGUCAGUAGGGAGGAGGUCCCCUGACAAAUAGAUACUUAGGAAACAAGGAAAAACUGGGAGGUAGAGUGUGGUAAAGUGUCCAAUGCAUGGUAUGUGUGGCAAAGUUUGCAGUGUGUGCUGUGAAUGAGGGGAUACUUUACAGGGCCAUAAAUGGGAGGAGUAUGGUCAAGAGGAGGGAAAAAUGUGAUUUCCCUAGAAUUCAUGAUAGAUAAAUUCAGAAUGUCAUAAAAGACAUUUAAUUUACAAGUCCUGCCAACAACAAGUUCAGAGAAAAAGGGUGGCGCAAACCAGUAUUCCCCCCCCCAGAGAGAAGAAAGGCAUUUUGAGAAAGAAGAUGAAGAGAAAGGCAGUGGUUAAACAGCAACAACUAAUGGCUCAAGGACCAGUGAGGAACCAGAAGGGGUUCAAAGGUCACUGGUGAAGGUCAGUUGCUAGGGAAAGGAACCACUGGACCUUAAAGGACGGAGAUGUCUCGGUCAAUGUAAAAGAGGAAGGAAGAGUGUUCAGAGAAAGAUGGGACAAGGGGGUCCCAGCAGAAGAGAGUUCAUCGGUUUGGCAGGCAUGGCAAGGAGCCAUGGUCAAGGUGACUUAAGAGUUACCUGCAUCUGGACUUUGUUAUAAACAUAGGCACCCAGUACUCUGUUUUUAAAUAUCCUUGAAACAGCACCAAAAAGCCAAAAGAAGCAUCAGACUGAUUUUAUGCCUAAGAGGGCUGUACAAACAGACAGCGGAUUGGUUCAGAAAAAUCAUCUCUGCAACCUUUAAAAUGCUAUUCACCACACUAGAAAUGAAGCUACCGCCGCACAGGAUACUGUCAAAAUGCCAGUAACGGUGCUCAGAAAAUGUUUUCAUAUGCUUCAGCUGGCUUCAAAAGAAAAGAAAAGAAAAAAAAUCAUGUACUUAAGUAGUUCACAACGCAAGAGACAAUAGAUUUUAUUUGAACAAUUAACAUCUUUUCCCAAGUCCUGUUGGAGCUGUGCAGAUUUUAAUUUUGGGGAAACUUACAAGAAUGGGGGAAAAGAGACACUUGAGUCCUUCUAAAAGCAAACUAUGUUUAAAGGGUUUUACCCUCCUACCUGCAACCCCAUUUCAUAUGUUUUUGUGACAGCAACGUUGGAAAAUUUGUAGAACUGCAUAUUUUAAUGAAAUGAAUGUUUAUCAACUAAAGAAUUCAGGAUAAGGUAGAAGGAAGUUAUACUGAAUGGAGAUUUGUGUGUAAAGACAUUGUCUGUUUGAAUCUAACACUACCAUUGGAAGACAGGCUGCGAAAAAUCUCAAGCAGUCUCUCAAACCUCCGGCAGAGAUGUGUGGCGUAACCCCCCUUAUUUGGUUACACAAGCGAUUCUGCAUGAUUUGUAUUUGCACAACUUGCUUUCUCCUGCAACCUGCACUUAGAGACUGUGGCUGUGCCUGGCUGGUGUUGCCAUUUCGGACAUUCUAUUGUGUGACAUUGUGUGACCAAGACCGUUGCUGUGAAAGUAGGGAGAAAAAGAUGUUAUGCUUUGGAGGUCCACGUUUCAGCUUACAAAAACACUACUGCUCUAAAUGCUUUGACUUUAAAAAAAUUUUAUGUCUCACGGAAACAGCCCAUUGCUACAAAGCAGCUGUAAGUUUUUUCUUCUUCUAGAAACCACAAGACUUUGCAUAAUUUGAAAAACAGGCUUCAGUAUCCUAGCAGAACUCAGCCGUCGGCAGCUGGAUGGGAGGCAAAUACGGAUUUAAAGGACCCCUCCUUAACCCUGCACAUGCAUGAAGUUCUGUGGAAGGAAAGAGAAACCACGAGGAGAUCCUGAAAGAUGGACCAGACGUGGAAUCCUGUUGCAAGCCUUGUGAAAUUCGGCAAAGACUGCUGUAAGGCACUGCUGCUAUAUCCCAGAGAUGACUUCUCAACUAACUGCUGCUACAUCCCAGAGAUGACUUCUGUGUGCCAGACACACCUCAAUGUCCAAUACGUGGGACGCACUACCUCGGAGAGUUUGGUGGUGGACUUACCAGCAAGAAGUUCUAAAACAGCAGCGGCAGCUACAAGGACAAUCUCUCCCCCCCCCUCCUUUGUUUUUUAUCUACAGGAAAUCACUCGAGCGAACAGCGUGUAGCCUUGCGGAGCCUGACACGAUGGUUCCAGCCUGACGCUAGCGAGUCCCUGAGUGAAUCCUUGAAGGAAGGGAGACGAGACCCUCUUCAUUCCUAGGUGGUGAGGUAUCCAUUCCAUCCGGUGAAAGUGCCUGAGAUGACCCCCUGGAUCCACACCCUGCUGUACCUAAUCAGAAGUGGGUACCCAGCGCACGGUGCACCAGUUUCCCCUUGCAGCGUCUGACCGGCAAAAGACGCCCAGCGCAUGGGAAACCGAAGUAGCCCCUGCUGUGACACUCCGGACGCUGUCACUCGACGCACGGGUUGAGGAACGUCCAUCUUAUGCAACACCCAACCAUCAAGGAGGCACAGUAAAUCUUAGACCCUUAUAUAUGUAUGUAUGAAUGUAUAUUUGUAUGGGAGGCAUCAAUUGAGUGGGACCCACAGUAGAAGUCUACCUGCCCCCAAAGCAGUAUCCUUAAUUUGGAAGGAAGGGCAGUGUACCUGCCUCACUUGAGCGAACAGACCCAAAACAGUUUCAGAAAUUGAACCAUGGGGUGGGUUCCAGCAACUCCCUAGGUGAUACAGGGCUAUAGCUGGGUUGGGGAUGUAACUGGAAGAGCUGGCCAGGUGCACCCCUCAGUUCUGGCUUUGGAAAUGAUGGGAGAAGCUUCUGGUAGCCCACUGAUAUCUAAUGCAAGCCUCUCCUGAUUCUGGCAAACUGGAACAAUAGCCAUUCUUUCUGUAGCCAAAUGCUCAGCUAGGACAAACCUCCAAUUGUUAUAUAUAUAUUCCUGGUCUUUAGAACUGUGUAGGAACUCUUGAAACCCAGAUUUGCAUUGAAGCCCAGUACUGAGCUGAGAGAGAACUGUGUAUUUUCCUGCUGACAUAAAGUUUUGGAAACAGUGGCUAAAGCCCCUUGGCUUUUAGAUUUCUAGCAACUAUAGUAUCCUAGUAUCUCUGAAGACUAGUGUGGCCAUUAUAGAUUCAUGGCCCACCUGAGAGAAAGAACCCUUUGUUGCCAAAAGUCUGUAUUGCGAUUUUUUUGUUGUGCCUCAAAUGGAAAUGCAAUGUAGUAGAAAGUGGCACUUGUGCUUCGACAAAAAUGAUGUUUGUAUAAUGCAAAUAUGUGUUCCCAGUUAGGUCUAACACGAAGGCUAAAAACUUCAACAGAAAAUGCUUAGGAGUUAUGGAAAUAGAUUAAUCAAAAGCUGAACCAGGCUUAAAUUCAGCAAGCAUUUUUACUCUGGUUUAUAGCAUCAAGCUGAAGCAGGAAAAGAAAAAGAAAAAACUUUCAUGGUUAUUUUACACUGACAGUUCUGCAGACUGAAUGCCUUAAUCUACAGGCUCUCAGAGUUUGUGUAUAGUCCUAUGAAUUAGCUGAUGGUGUCUGUCCUAACAGUGAAUUAUUAUUCCCCCCUUAGGAAAGAUUUCCAACCCCAUGUGUAUGUGUGGUAGCACUCUUAAGAAACUGUUUUGUGAUGCACGUUAUUCACUUGGAUAGCAUAAUUCACAAGUUUUAGAAACACUAGCUUGUAUACCUUAAGUUAAGAAGUUUCAAAAUGAAGGUCUGAAUGUGCCAGGUAACAAAAUUUAGGUCUGUUUGUAAAAUAUUUUGCUAUUUGAUUUAAGAAAAGCAAUGUACUAUGUCUUUAAUGACUGCUAGUUCCUGAUCACAGCCGGAGGUUCCUGGAACCUUUUUAGUUCUGGUGACACUAAGAAACAUUUAACAGCCUUGGUCAGGUAUUUUAACUGUUCAGUAGAAAAGGCAGCCCCCACCCCGAAGUUCUCUAUCUGCCUUGCACUAUUUCCCUGGAAGUCAAAAACCUAACAUUUGAGCAAGCUUCCAGUUAGCCUUCUUCUGCCCUACAUACCUCUUUGCAGCCCAGCAAUCUUCUGAGGGCUCUGAACUAGCAUCUGUAUACAACCAGAGUAAACGUGUUGAGAGUGAUUUUAAAAACAUUAAGAAGCAGGCUGAUUUGUACCACAAGGUUAGCCUAGACGGUGCAGGUCUGCCCAGUGUAUGGAGUUAGAUUAGUUCUUGGCUCCCAGGUUGGUCAUAGUUAAAAGAGAUUCUGCUUGUAAUAUUAAUUUUCUUUCUUAUUGUCUUAGCCCUAUGCAGAACCUUGGUCUGUAUAAAGCUUCUGGUAGCCCUUCUGAGACAAGCUGAAUAACAAGCCUGGGAAAAGUCAGCAGAAGCUUCCUCACUUACUUUGCUCUCUGUUGCCCAUCCUUUGGCCUAACAUUGGAGCAUGGGAAGCUGCUGGCUCCUCUGUAGAAUCAUAGAGUUGGAAGAGACCACAAGGGCCAUCCAGUUCAACCCCCUACCAAGCAGGAAACACCAGGAAACACUGUAGUGCAAUGGGUCAAUCAAAUGGAGAUGCAGAAGCAGACCUGUUCUUCAUCUCCAUAUUGAAGAGGAGGGAAUAUAGGGUGGCAAUGACCAGGGCCAGAAUAAUCCUGGUCAGGCCACACAGGCCCUAAAGUAGCCAGAGGAACUCCAUUUUCAAUAUCUCUCUGUCUCUGAUAAGUAAACCAGACAGCACUUUGCACACAGGCACAGCAUGUUUGCACAUCUAAUGCAAAGAUCUAACCACACACAGCACUUCUGAGAAAUUCUAGCAAACUAGACAGGGCCUGUUUCAACCCACUGUCAGAGGAUGUAGCCCUGCCACAAAACCGCAGUUACACGUGUAUGAAAGUACCAGGUACAUAACGCCACUUAGUGGAGUUAGGUAAAUGACUUUGCAUCUUGGGGUGCUCUCUCUUGAUUGGUUGAUGAAGUACUGCAGAAAGGCUGGCCU